GUAGUCUCGCACAGAUGCAUAUCAAUAAGCGGAGGAAAAGAAACUAACAAGGAUUCCCCUAGUAACGGCGAGUGAAGCGGGAAGAGCUCAAAUUUGAAAUCUUAAAGGGUUUCCCUUUACGAAUUGUAGUUUAAAGAAGUGUUUUCUGUUGAGGUUUUGGUAAAAGUUCUUUGGAAUAGGACAUCAUAGAGGGUGAGAAUCCCGUAUUUGACCUUUACUUUCAACUUUGUGAUACACUUUCAAAGAGUCGGAUUGUUUGGGAAUGCAGUCCAAAAUGGGUGGUAAAUUUCAUCUAAAGCUAAAUAUUGGCGAGAGACCGAUAGCGAACAAGUACCGUGAGGGAAAGAUGAAAAGAACUUUGAAAGGAGAGUUAAACAGUACGUGAAAUUGUCAAAAGGGAAGCGUUUGACACCAGUGUUGUUUUUCUGAAAAUCAAUUAAAGAACUGUUUAUGCUAAGUUGUUUAGACUUUAUCAGCUAACUGUUUAGUUUUGAGCUUUUCUUUAAUGCACUUUUCAGUUAACAAGUCAACAUCAAUUUCUUUUGCUGUAAAAAAGCUUGAGGAAGGUGGCUUGAGAUUCGUCUUAAGUGUUUAUAGCCUCUUGCCUAUGCAGUCGGAGAGAUUGAGGUCUGCAGCGUAGAUCCUUCGGGGCUAAAUGCAUUUGUGCUAAGUUAUAGCAUUUUAUACACAACUUGUUGACUAUGAUUUGUCUUGUAGCUUACUCGCUUAUGUUAUUUUACCUACGCUUAGGAUGUUGAAGACUCUACAGAGAU
rnacentral:rRNA from 1 species